rnacentral:rRNA from 1 species
CGCGUAGGCGGACCGUCAAGUCCGGGGUGAAAUCUUUCGGCUCAACCGGAAAAGUGCCUCGGAUACUGGCGGUCUCGAGCGAGGUAGGGGCAGGCGGAACUUCCGGUGGAGCGGUGAAAUGCGUUGAUAUCGGAAGGAACUCCGGUGGCGAAGGCGGCCUGCUGGACCUCUCCUGACGCUGAGGCGCGAAAGCUAGGGGGAGCAAACGG